rnacentral:rRNA from 1 species
UGUUCCUACGGGGGGCAGCAGUGAGGAAUAUUGGUCAAUGGCCGAGAGGCUGAACCAGCCAAGUCGCGUGAGGGAAGACGGCCCUACGGGUUGUAAACCUCUUUUGCCGGGGAGCAACGGGCGUCACGUGUGGCGCCACUGAGAGUACCCGGAGAAAAAGCAUCGGCUAACUCCGUGCCAGCAGCCGCGGUAAUACGGAGGAUGCGAGCGUUAUCCGGAUUUAUUGGGUUUA